UAUAGGACUUCAACUCACACUUAAUUUAUUAUUAACACUUUAAUGUAUUAUCUAUUACACAACAGUGAGACAACAAUUUUGUAAGUAGAAUGAAUAAACAAACCAACUUAAUUUGUAAUUAUGAAAAAAAACCAUAUCCAAUAUACUUAUAAAUUUUCCUUUUAUGUAUAUUUUAAACUGUUUUCAUUUCUUUGGCAUAAAAAUAUAUUAGCUUAUAU
rnacentral:lncRNA from 1 species